UAACANGUGAGUGACCUGCCUUUUAGACUGGAACAACUUACCGAAAGGUGAGCUAAUGCCGGAUGAGUUAUAUAAGUGCAUGUUUAUAUAGGAAAAGUUGGGGAGACCUGACGCUGAAAGAUGGACUCGCGUCCCAUUAGCUAGUUGGUAGGGUAAUGGCCUACCAAGGCGACGAUGGGUAGCCGGCCUGAGAGGGUGGCCGGCCACACUGGGACUGAGACACGGCCCAGACUCCUACGGGAGGCAGCAGUGGGGAAUUUUGCGCAAUGCUCGUAAGAGUGACGCAGCGACGCCGCGUGAAUGACGAAGGCCUUCGGGUCGUAAAGUUCUUUCGACAGGGAAGAAAAUGCCUAUAAGUAACUGUGUAUGUAUUGACGGUACCUGUAUAAGCAGCCCCGGCUAACUCCGUGCCAGCAGCCGCGGUAAUACGGAGGGGGCGAGCGUUGUUCGGAGUGACUGGGCGUAAAGAGCACGUAGGCGGUGUUGUAAGUCAUUAGUCAAAGACUAGAGCUCAACUUUAGUAAGGCUAGUGAUACUAUAAUACUAGAGUAUCAGAGAGGAUUGCAGAAUUCCUGGUGUAGCGGUGAAAUGCGUAGAUAUCAGGAGGAAUACCGUUAGCGAAGGCGGCAAUCUGGCUGGAAACUGACGCUGAGGUGCGAAAGCGUGGGUAGCAAACAGGAUUAGAUACCCUGGUAGUCCACGCUGUAAACGAUGGAUGCUAGGUGU
rnacentral:rRNA from 1 species